rnacentral:rRNA from 1 species
CUUAAGGAUGGGUCUGCGGCCGAUUAGGUUGUUGGUGGGGUAACGGCCCACCAAGCCUGUAAUCGGUACGGGCUGUGAGAGCAGAAGCCCGGAGAUGGAAUCUGACACACUAGUCCCAGCCCUACGGGGCGCAGCAGGCGGGAAAACUUUGCAAUGCACGAAAGUGUGAUAAGGGAAUCCAAAGUGCUUUACUUUUUGUAAGGCUUUUUCCAAGAGCAAAAAUCUUGGAGAAUAAGUGGUGGGUAAGACUGGUGCCAGCAGCCGCGGUAACCCCAGCGCCACAAGUUGCAAUCGAUGUUAUUGGGCCUAAAGCGUCCGUAGCCGGCUUACCAAAUCUUUUGUGAAAUUGUUGCGCUUAACGUAACACCGUGCAGAAGACACUAGUAAGCUUGGAACCGGGAGGAGUUGGGGGUAUUUAUAGGGUAGCGGUAAAAUGCAAUAAUCCCAUAAAGACCACCUGUGGCGAAGGCGCCCAACUAGAACGGUUCCGACGGUGAGGGACGAAAGCCAGGGGAGCAAUCCGGAUUAGAUACCCGAGUAGUCCUAGCAGUAAACACUGCACACUAGGUGUUGCUAUCACUUCGUGAAUAUGUAGUGUCGAAAUGAAGAUGAUAAGCUCGCCGCCUGGGAAGUACGGUCGCAAGACUGAAACUUAA